rnacentral:rRNA from 1 species
GGCCAGACUCCUACGGGAGGCAGCAGUGGGGAAUAUUGGGCAAUGGGCGCAAGCCUGACCCAGCAACGCCGCGUGAAGGAAGAAGGCUUUCGGGUUGUAAACUUCUUUUAAGAGGGAAGAGUAGAAGACGGUACCUCUUGAAUAAGCCACGGCUAACUACGUGCCAGCAGCCGCGGUAAUACGUAGGUGGCAAGCGUUGUCCGGAUUUACUGGGUGUAAAGGGCGUGUAGCCGGGCCGGCAAGUCAGAUGUGAAAUCCCAAGGCUCAACCUUGGAACUGCAUUUGAAACUGUUGGUCUUGAGUAUCGGAGAGGCAGGCGGAAUUCCUAGUGUAGCGGUGAAAUGCUUAGAUAUCACGAAGAGCCCCGAUUGCGAAGGCAGCUUACUAAACUGUGACUGACAUUGAUGCUCGAAAGUGUGGGUAUCAAACAGGAUUAGAUACCCCUGUAC